GGACUACUGGGGUUUCUAAUCCUGUUUGAUCCCCGCACUUUCGAGCCUCAGCGUCAGUUACAGUUUCGUUAGCUGCCUUCGCAAUCGGUGUUCUAUGACAUCUCUAUGUAUUUCACCACUACAUGUCAUAUUCCGCCAACGGCAACUGUACUCAAGCCCAACAGUAUCAAUGGCAAUUUCCUCGUUAAGCGAGGAGAUUUCACCACUGACUUAUCGGGCCGCCUACGCUCCCUUUAAACCCAAUGAAUCCGGAUAACGCUUGCAUCCUUCGUCUUACCGCGGCUGCUGGCAC
rnacentral:rRNA from 1 species